rnacentral:rRNA from 1 species
GAGAUAACUCCUACGGGAGGCAGCAGUGGGGAAUAUUGCACAAUGGGCGGUAGCCUGAUGCAGCAACGCCGCGUGAGGGAUGACGGCCUUCGGGUUGUAAACCUCUUUUAGCAAGGAAGAAGCGAAAGUGACGGUACUUGCAGAAAAAGCGCCGGCUAACUACGUGCCAGCAGCCGCGGUAAUACGUAGGGCGCAAGCGUUAUCCGGAAUUAUUGGGCGUAAAGAGCUCGUAGGCGGUUUGUCGCGUCUGCUGUGAAAACCGGAGGCUCAACCUCCGGCCUGCAGUGGGUACGGGCAGACUAGAGUGCGGUAGGGGAGAUUGGAAUUCCUGGUGUAGCGGUGGAAUGCGCAGAUAUCAGGAGGAACACCGAUGGCGAAGGCAGAUCUCUGGGCCGUAACUGACGCUGAGGAGCGAAAGGGUGGGGAGCAAACAGGAUUAGAAACCCUAGUAGUCCUCCACU